rnacentral:tRNA from 1 species
GGUGCGUUAGUUCAGUUGGUUAGAAUAUCUGCCUGUCACGCAGGGGGUCACGGGUUCGAGUCCCGUACGCACCGCAA